GAUGAACGCUAGCGGCAGGCCUAACACAUGCAAGUCGAGGGGCAGCACAGAAACAGCAAUGUUUUGGUGGCGACCGGCGGACGGGUGCGUAACGCGUCUGCAACCUACCAUUAACAGGGGGAUAACGGAGAGAAAUUUCCACUAAUACCCCAUAACAUCGAUCAAGGCAUCUUGAUGGGUUGAAAACUCCGGUGGUUAAAGAUGGGCAUGCGUUGCAUUAGGUAGUUGCUGAGGUAAUGGCUAACCAAGCCUACGAUACAUAGGGGGACUGAGAGGUUAGCCCCCCACACUGGUACUGAGACACGGACCAGACUCCUACGGGAGGCAGCAGUGAGGAAUAUUGGUCAAUGCGGGCAACCCUGAACCAGCCAUGCCGCGUGCAGGAAGACGGCUCUAUGAGUUGUAAACUGCUUUUAAACAGGGAUAAAGCACAGUAUGUAUACUGUGUUGAAGGUACUGUAAGAAUAAGGAUCGGCUAACUCCGUGCCAGCCGCCGCCGUAA
rnacentral:rRNA from 1 species